rnacentral:lncRNA from 1 species
GCAUGCAGGAUGGGGUUCUGUCUUCUGCGUGGAGCAUGAUGGGUGAGAGGAAGCAGAGGCUGGAGAGAUGGAGGACCCACAGUUUGAAAGGAGAUGAACCCCACAGGACGCUUCCACAGAGUGAUGCUGGCCAGCCCACCUUGGACCACAGGAAGCUCCCUAAGAAAAAGUCCAGGUCACUCCUGCAGAGCCCAUGGCCUUUACUACUGUGCCCAUGAUAGUCCCUCUGGGGUCCUUCCAUUUGGCCAUCACCCCAGAGCAGCAUCCACUGAGCUGAGACAUGGAUUCCUCCUCUCACAGUCCAUCCACUUUAUCUAAGGACCUCCCUUUAACCACACAGAGGAAAACAGCUGGAAUCUGCUUUUUGACAAUGGAGCAGAGGUGUCCUAAGGGUACAAGGAGCCACAAGCCAUCUACUGUCUCCGAUGAAGAUGCUUAGUAAAUAUUUGUGGAGCAGAGGAUGAAGGUACUAAAAUGUUUCUUCUUAAGAUGCAGACAAUCUCUGGGAGCCGUUUCUCGCGCGCGAGCAAAGUACCACAUCAGGAAUUCCAGACAUCUGACCUUAUCAGCGGUGCCCCUGCGCUCCUUGCCUGGAGUUGUCUGGACCCUGACAAACACUUCAAAGCCUACCACCCUUGCCUCUCCCGGAGUGAAGGAGGUUGUCUUGGUGUUCCAUCGCUGUGAAGAGACACGGUGGCCACGGCAGUGCUUAUAAAAGAAAGCAUUUAGUUCAGGCCUGCUUACCGUUUCAGAGGGAUUUAGUCCCUUUAUCCCCAUGACAGGGAACAUGGCGGCACGCAGCUGGAGAAGUAGCUAGUGUUCUUCAGCCAGUUCUGAGGGAGCGCGGCAGGAAGAGAAAGACCCUGGCCAGGGUCUAGCUUUUGAAACUUCAAUGACCCAUUCCCAGGGACAUUUCCUUCAAUAAGGCCACACCAACAAGGUCACGCCUUCUAUCUCUUCCCAGGUAAUGCCACUCCCUGAUGAGUAAGCAUUCAAUUACGCUGGAGCCAUUCUCAUUCAAACCUCCACGGGGUGGAGAGGAAGGUAUUUGGGGUGGUCUGAAGGCAGGAAAACCUCCUCAUCCAGCCACAAUGGAAGCCUGGGAUGAGUGUCCUUGCAAACUGGGAGAGGGAGCUCUCUGCAUGUUCACCCAGACUUGCCGCUGUCAACUGCGGAAGAAUCUUCAGGAAGGGCAUAGGGCCUUCCUGAAUGUCACACCCAGACAUUCCCUUCUCUUGUAGCACCUUUCCUGUUCUCUUGUCUUCUCUCCUCCCCCUCCCCCUCCUUCUCUC